GUCCACGCCGUAAACGAUGGAUACUAGCUGUUGGGGGCAACUUCAGUGGCUAAGCGAAAGUGAUAAGUAUCCCACCUGGGGAGUACGUUCGCAAGAAUGAAACUCAAAAGGAAUUGACGGGGGCCCGCACAAGCGGUGGAGCAUGUGGUUUAAUUCGAUGAUACGCGAGGAACCUUACCAAGGCUUAAAUGUAGAUUGACCGGUUUGGAAACAGAUCUUUCGCAAGACAAUUUACAAGGUGCUGCAUGGUUGUCGU
rnacentral:rRNA from 1 species